rnacentral:rRNA from 1 species
GAUGAACGCUGGCGGCGUGCUUAACACAUGCAAGUCGAACGGAGCCAAGAGAUGCUUGCAUCUUGGAAGCUUAGUGGCGGACGGGUGAGUAACGCGUGAGUAACCUGCCCUUUACCGGGGGAUAACACUUAGAAAUAGGUGCUAAUACCGCAUAAGCGCACAGUGCCGCAUGGUACAGUGUGAAAAACUCCGGUGGUAAAGGAUGGACUCGCGUCUGAUUAGCCAGUUGGCAGGGUAACGGCCUACCAAAGCGACGAUCAGUAGCCGGCCUGAGAGGGUGAACGGCCACAUUGGGACUGAGACACGGCCCAAACUCC